UACGGGGGGGUGCGAGCGUUGUCCGGAAUCACUGGGCGUAAAGGGCUCGUAGGCGGCCAACUAAGUCGGACGUGAAAUCCCUCAGCUUAACUGGGGAACUGCGUCCGAUACUGGAUGGCUUGGAUUUGGGAGAGGGAUGCGGAAUUCCAGGUGUAGCGGUGAAAUGCGUAGAUAUCUGGAGGAACACCGGUGGCGAAGGCGGCAUCCUGGACCAAUAUUGACGCUGAGGAGCGAAAGCCAGGGGAGCAAACGGG
rnacentral:rRNA from 1 species